UGCGGGCGUGGCGGAAUUGGCAUACGCGAUGGUUUUAGGUGCCAUUGCUCGAGAGAGCUUGAGGGUUCGAGUCCCUCCGCCCGCACCC
rnacentral:tRNA from 3 species